GACGAACGCUGGCGGCGUGCCUAAUACAUGCAAGUCGAACGCAGUGGGGACGGGUGAGUAACACGUGGGUAACCUCCCAUCAGAGGAGAUAACACUUGGAAACAGGUGCUAAACCGAUACUGAUGGAUGAACCCGCGGUGCAUUAGCUAGUUGGUGGGGGAACGGCUCACCAAGGCCACGAUGCCUAGCCGGUCUGAGAGGAUGACCAGCCACACUGGGACUGAGACACGGCCCAGACUCCUACGGGAGGCAGCAGUAGGGAAUCUUCGGCAAUGGACGAAAGUCUGACCGAGCAAUGCCGCGUGAGUGAAGAAGGGUUUCGGAUUGUAAAACUCUGUUGGUAGAGAAGCGUUAUCUACACAGAAAGCCACGGCUAACUACGUGCCAGCAGCCGCGGUAAUAC
rnacentral:rRNA from 1 species